CUGCGUGUUCGGAAGCAUUUGGCUACCAGAGGGUAAGAAUGCGAAGCCCUCUCCUUUCGUGGACUCCGGAUUGGAUUCCGGCUGUAGGUGUGGGAACCGGCUUUUCCGCCUCACGCGGGGGCGGAAUAGCGGCCCCGGUUCCUCUCGGGAAUGCUGGGGAAUGUAGUCCAGGAGCUCCGCAGAGUCGGAGGUAUUUCCGCUGCGGGAGGUUAACAUCGCGGCCUUUAUUUCUCUCUGGGAGGUGGCACUGGCUCUUCUUAUCCAUGCGGGACAGGAGGCUCUGCCCGGACUAUUUCUGACUCGUGUUUUAGAAAGAGAGCGUCACCCACAAAUACCUUCUGCGGUUUUUGCAGGGCCACAGACCAGACUGUAGCACCUCAGGCUCCUUUCUUUUCCGCCUCCUGACUUCUGAAAGAGGACUCCUUGGCAGCAGAGCCCCGCUGCGACCGUACUUAGCUUUCGUCUUCCUCUUCUGCGGUGAUAGAAGGUAUUUCAUUCAUGAGCAACUGUUAAAUAAUUGAGAAAAUAUGGAGAACAUGCACAGGACAUGAGUGAUAGUCUUCAUGGUUACACCUGGAAUGCUAAGCGUCAUCCCGAGGGUUUUAUAAAAAUUAACGCAGUCUUCACAAAGCCCUCUCCAGUGAAUACUGUUACUGCCUCUAUUGUACAGAUGAGGGAAUGGAGUCAGAGGAGCCUAAGUUACUUAUCCUGUGUCGCACCGCUAGUGGGUGAAGUGGAUUUGAAUCCAGGGUGUGUGUGCCUUAUGGAUAUCCUUGGUCCCAAAGUUUGAAGUCCUCAAAUUGGAAUUAGGAAACAAAACAGAAAAGUAAGUUAUAUAAAUAUUUAACCAUAGGAAACUGGCUGCAGAGGAGUCAAGUCAUUUGGGAUCAAGUUAUGGAGGGACUGCUGUUUUCCAGGACCUUGUCAUAUUCUUUCCAGAGUGCCCAGCAGCAACCUAGAAGUUAGCAGAGAAGAGUUAUUCGGUGGCUAUGUGACAUGAAAAAUGCAGCAAGUUAUCAAAAGGGCAAAAGGGGGUUUUAAGUUCCUUUGUGAGUCUAAUGUGCUGUCCAAAUUGAGAACCACAGUCCUAGUAGAAGCAGCAGAGAAGCAUCUAGAAUAUCGGUUCUGGUAUGAGAGCUGGAUUCCACUUCCACCCGUGUGUCUUGACCUCAUCAAACUUCAGCUUCUUCAUCU